AGACUGCCGCUUAGGCAA
rnacentral:snRNA from 1 species